CGGCCGCAUCCUCCCCUUCCUCGCCGAGCCCGAUUUCAGGUCGAGCCAUGAGCUUAUAUUCAGUGCAGUUUGGAAUCUGCUCUCCAUUCUUCGCACAGGUGACCGAGAAGCCUACAGACAGUUCUUCCUGGAUGCUAUGGUCACAGUAGAAGAUCUACUAUAUGUGGCAUCAAUGCAUGAUGAGAGUCCUAGUGGUGUGCCACCUGGAAGGUGUUUAGUUAAAUGCCUCUGUGGAUCCUUCUCAAAUAUAUUAGACUCACCUGGGCCUUAUAGUGAGCUCCCAGCCAGUUGCCAACCUAAGAAUGGACCUGGCGUGCUGGUUGAUCUGACAGGCGAUGUAAGAUGGCGUCCAUUUGCCACUUCACUGAUUAAACUAGUUAACAAGUGUCUUGCAGAUGGGACCUUGUAUGU